AUACUUACCUGGCAGGGACAAUACCAUGAUCAAGGAGGUGGUUUGCCCAAAGCGAGGCUCAGCCAUUGCACUCAGGCUGUGCUGACCUUUGCAAAUUCCCCAAAUGCAGGACUGCAUAAUUUAUAAUAGUGGGGGUCUGCAUUUGCGCUCUCCCCUU